UACGUAGGGGGCUAGCGUUGUCCGGAAUUAUUGGGCGUAAAGAGCGUGUAGGCGGUCCGGUAAGUCAGAUGUGAAAGUCAAGGGCUCAACCCUUGAAUGCCGGUUGAUACUGUCGGGCUAGAGUCCGGAAGAGGCGAGUGGAAUUCCCGGUGUAGCGGUGAAAUGCGCAGAUAUCGGGAGGAACACCAAUGGCGAAGGCAGCUCGCUGGGACGGUACUGACGCUGAGACGCGAAAGCGUGGGGAGCAAACAGG
rnacentral:rRNA from 1 species